rnacentral:rRNA from 1 species
AUUGAACGCUGGCGGCAGGCCUAACACAUGCAAGUCGAGCGAGCGGCGGACGGGUGAGUAAUGUCUGGGGAACUGCCUGAUGGAGGGGGAUAACUACUGGAAACGGUAGCUAAUACCGCAUACUAUCGGAUGUACCCAUAUGGGAUUAGCUAGUAGGUGGGGUAAUGGCUCACCUAGGCGACGAUCCCUAGCUGGUCUGAGAGGAUGAUCAGCCACACUGGGACUGAGACACGGCCCAGACUCCUACGGGAGGCAGCAGUGGGGAAUAUUGCACAAUGGGCGCAAGCCUGAUACAGCCAUGCCGCGUGUGUGAAGAAGGCCUUAGGGUUGUAAAGUACUUUCAGUCGGGAGGCGUUACCCACAGAAGAAGCACCGGCUAACUCCGUGCCAGCCGCCGCGGUAAUAC